rnacentral:rRNA from 1 species
GGGGAGCGUCGUGCACGCUGAGAAGCUGUCACGGAAGUGGUGGUGGAGUGUGUGCGAGUGAGAAUGCAGGCAUGAGUAGCGUGUGACGGGUGGGAAACCCGUCCGCCGAAUAUCCAAGGGUUCCAGGGUCAAGUUAAUCUGCCCUGGGUGAGUCGGGGCCUAAGGCGAGGCCGACAGGCGUAGUCGAUGGACGACCAGUUGAUAUUCUGGUACCGGUGUAGCACCGUCCGUGUCGAGGUGUGUGAUGCUAAGCGUGCGAGUGUCCUGGUGAUCCCUUCGGGGUGAUCUUGUGGCGUGAGUGUGUGAACCGAUCAUGUAGUAGACAAGCUGCGGAGGGACACAGUGAGGUAGCUCGUCCCCGGCGAUGGUUGUCCGGGGCUAAAUGUGUGGACUGUCUGGUAGGUAAAUCCGUCAGACGUUGAGUUGAGGCAUGAUGGCGAGCCAUGUUUGUGUGGUGAGCGAGUGAUCCUGUGCUGUCGAGAAAAGCUUCGUGAGCGAGGUGUGAGCCGCCCGUACCCUAAACCGACACUGGUGGAUAGGUAGAGUAUACCGAGGCGAUCGAGAGAAUCAUGGUGAAGGAACUCGGCAAAAUGCCCCCGUAACUUUGGAAGAAGGGGGACCUGAGCUGUUGCCGCCACGUGCUGGUGGUUGCGGUGAGGGGCGCAGAGAAUUGGGGGAAGCGACUGUUUACCAAAAACACAGGUCCGUGCGAAGUCGUAAGACGAUGUAUACGGACUGACUCCUGCCCGGUGCUGGAAGGUUAAGGGGAACUGUGA